rnacentral:rRNA from 1 species
GAUGAACGCUGGCGGCGUGCCUAAUACAUGCAAGUCGAGCGAACAGACGAGGAGCUUGCUCCUUUGACGUUAGCGGCGGACGGGUGAGUAACACGUGGGUAACCUACCUAUAAGACUGGGAUAACUUCGGGAAACCGGAGCUAAUACCGGAUAAUAUUUCGAACCGCAUGGUUCGAUAGUGAAAGAUGGCUUUGCUAUCACUUAUAGAUGGACCUGCGCCGUAUUAGCUAGUUGGUAAGGUAACGGCUUACCAAGGCAACGAUACGUAGCCGACCUGAGAGGGUGAUCGGCCACACUGGAACUGAGACACGGUCCAGACUCCUACGGGAGGCAGCAGUAGGGAAUCUUCCGCAAUGGGCGAAAGCCUGACGGAGCAACGCCGCGUGAGUGAUGAAGGUCUUCGGAUCGUAAAACGCUGUUAUUAGGGAAGAACAAACGUGUAAGUAACUGUGCACGUCUUGACGGUACCUAAUCAGAAAGCCACGGCUAACUACGU